rnacentral:rRNA from 2 species
UACAGAGACUGCAAGCGUUAUUCGGAUUCACUGGGCGUAAAGGGUGCGCAGGCGGCCGUGUGUGUGAGGCGUGAAAGCCUGGAGCUUAACUCCAGAAUUGCACCUCAAACUACACGGCUAGAGCAUUGGAGAGGGUAGCGGAAUUCACGGUGUAGCAGUGAAAUGCGUAGAUAUCGUGAGGAACACCAGAGGCGAAGGCGGCUACCUGGACAAUUGCUGACGCUCAGGCACGAAAGCGUGGGGAGCAAAAGGG